rnacentral:rRNA from 1 species
CAGUCGCCGCGGUAAUACAGAGGGUGCGAGCGUUAAUCGGAUUUACUGGGCGUAAAGCGUGCGUAGGCGGCUUCUUAAGUCGGAUGUGAAAUCCCUGAGCUUAACUUAGGAAUUGCAUUCGAUACUGGGAAGCUAGAGUAUGGGAGAGGAUGGUAGAAUUCCAGGUGUAGCGGUGAAAUGCGUAGAGAUCUGGAGGAAUACCGAUGGCGAAGGCAGCCAUCUGGCCUAAUACUGACGCUGAGGUACGAAAGCAUGGGGAGCAAACAGGAUUAGAUACCCCGGUAGUCCCUGUCUUCUUAUA